AGUUCGGAUUGUAGUCUGCAACCCGACUACAUGAAGCUGGAAUCGCUAGUAAUCGCGGAUCAGAAUGCCGCGGUGAAUACGUUCCCGGGUCUUGUACACACCGCCCGUCACACCAUGGGAGUCGGAAAUGCCCGAAGUCUGUGACCCAACCUACGGGAGGGAGCAGCCGAAGGCAGGUCGGAUGACUGGGGUGAAGUCGUAACAAGGUAUC
rnacentral:rRNA from 1 species